rnacentral:tRNA from 1 species
GCCCCUGUGGCGGAAUUGGUAGACGCAGCAGACUCAAAAUCUGCCGUCCUCGCGGACGUGGGAGUUCGAGUCUCCCCGGGGGCACCA